GACGUAGGGCGCGAGCGUUGUCCGGAUUUAUUGGGCGUAAAGAGCUCGUAGGCGGCUUGUCGCGUCGACUGUGAAAACCCGCGGCUCAACUGCGGGCCUGCAGCCGAUACGGGCAGGCUAGAGUUCGGUAGGGGAGACUGGAAUUCCUGGUGUAGCGGUGAAAUGCGUAGAUAUCGAGAGGAACACCAGUGGCGAAGGCGAGUCCCUGGACAACACCUGACACUGAGGCACGAAAGCCAGGGGAGCAAACGGG
rnacentral:rRNA from 1 species